AAGAAAGCAAGGGGUGAACCGAGAGUAAUGUGGGGAAAGUAGUGAAAAAAGAUUUAGUGACUUCAGAUCUUUAUGAAGAUGUAAUCCUAAACAGGAUGGAAAGGAGGAAAAUGAUCCACAUAGCAACCACAAAUAGCCUUUGAUUAAGGCUGUGUUCAGUUGUGCUAUUUUUUGCCAGUCAUGGAUGAUUAUACAAAAACUAACAUUUAUUAUUCACUUUGGUUCCAUGUUUUUGGUAUUGG
rnacentral:misc_RNA from 1 species